rnacentral:lncRNA from 1 species
UGAUCAAUCGGAAGGGGUGCUAAUUGGGAUUGUUCACCAGCCAAUAUAUCAGCAAAUGUCACCGUGGGCGCUUAUUAGAGUGGGGCGCUUAUUACGUCGAAUACGGUAUAUACAAUAUAUAAGUUUAAAGUAUCUUAAGUUAAAUCUAGGAAUUAUUUUAUACAUCAUAACUCUGCUUCCAGACAAGUAUUUUACUCAGUAUAAACAUUUUAUUGACAUUUUGUAAUGUAUACAUUUCUACUUUACAUGAUCAUGUUACUGUGUUGUGUUCUGUUCUGAAGAUGAUAUAUUUUGGUGAGUGAGUGUGUGAGUGAGUAUGGAUUAACAUGGCUUUGAGCAGUGUUUCGGUUAUUUCACAUCAUGUCAACUUAAUAUGUUACGGGUCUUGGAUGUUUGCCACUGUGGUGAAACCUAUGCUAAUAGGUAAGGUUCUGACAAACCAAGUAACAUGAUCAGGGCCAAUCUGGGAUUUUAACCCACGAUAAGAAUGCUAAAUAACCGCCUGCCUGCUAGCCUGUGACUUGCAAAAUUUAGGUCGGGAUAAAUAUUCUUAAAUGUCCCAGACUUACUGAAAUUUUAAGGGUGAUUUUUAUCCACACCACUUAGUUGAUCACAAUGCAAAUUGUUCUCCCUUUUCUGGAGAUAAAUACGACCAUAACAAAUCAAAGUAGUAUCCAUAAUGAAUCAAGGUUGCAAGGUUGUGAGAUCAGAGUUCCCCCCCUUCAUAAUAUUUGACUCGAAGCUCCUUCCCAGUGCAUGACACCUUAGUUACACACUCGGUAUAGAGAGCUCCACCAGCGGGAUAUCGCUGUGAGGAGCUUGUAUUUGACUCAUGAUUUGCCAUUUGAGCUUACUUUAUUGAUACCUUCGCAGAGCGAAAUGUCUAAAGGAACUGUCGCUUAUUUAAGCUAGUGUAAUUUGAAACUGACUAGUAAUUUAUGUCGAACGAGCAGACAUGGCCAGCAAUAAUUUUAGACUAUUUCACACACUGCCCACAAUCAUAGGUUUCCGGCACACCUUAGGGACGCAACUCUGCAGUGCCUAAGAUGACACAGAUAUCUUAUAGGUGAAUGGUGCCAGGUUCAGCCUGAAUUGGGGAGACAGAUGGCCCUGUGGAAGGUGCUGCCACUCAUUGUGACCCAUAGCAGUGGUCAUGGGUCAAAUCCCAUACUUUUAUUCUUCAUCAUGUGUUUUAAAGUGCUAAUCCACUACGAUACCAAACUGCAGUCUAACAUGGAUACCCCACUAAGAGUAUACCGACUCCGAGCCGACCAGUCCUUGUUUUAUCCCUUAAUGUUGAAUGCCAGGCAGGGUAACAAGAACCAUCUUUUGGUGUGACAUGGCCGGGAAUAAAACCACCAACCCCUCUCUCUGGACAGAUGCUCUGUCCACUAGACCACAGAGGCGGUCUCUCCCACAUAAAAAGCUGAGAUGCUGUGAUGUAACUGAAUCACUGUUACGAAACAGUGUCAAUCCCAACUCACUCACUCGGUGUGAAUCUGAAGGAAUAGUUCAUGCAUUAUUUUUUCAAGAGAUUUUGCCUGUUGGAUUUGAGUUGAGAUAUUGUUGUGUUUAAGUUUAAUCAAUAAUUUGCUUGUCCAAUGUGUGUAAAUGAAUGAUUGACACACAGAAUGAACCCAGUGAAGUUAAUAAUUGAAAUAUUCCAAUGUUGAAUAUGUGAUAUCUUUGUCAAUAAAGUUGUUUUUGCAACAACAUA